GACGAACGCUGGCGGCGUGCUUAACACAUGCAAGUCGAACGGAAAGGCCCCUUUGGGGGUCCUCGAGUGGCGAACGGGUGAGUAACACGUGAGUAACCUGCCCUUGACUUCGGGAUAACUUCAGGAAACUGGGGCUAAUACCGGAUAGGAAUCCUUGCUGCAUGGUGGGGGUUGGAAAGCUUCGGCGGUUUUGGAUGGACUCGCGGCUUAUCAGCUUGUUGGUGGGGUAGUGGCUUACCAAGGCUUUGACGGGUAGCCGGCCUGAGAGGGCGACCGGCCACAUUGGGACUGAGAUACGGCCCAGACUCCUACGGGAGGCAGCAGUGGGGAAUAUUGCACAAUGGGCGGAAGCCUGAUGAAGCAACGCCGCGUGCGGGAUGACGGCCUUCGGGUUGUAAACCGCUUUCAGCAGGGGCGAAGCUUGUGGUGACGGUACCUGCAGAAGAAGCACCGGCUAACUACGUG
rnacentral:rRNA from 1 species